CGGGUGAGUAAUGCCUGGGAAAUUGCCCUGAUGUGGGGGAUAACCAUUGGAAACGAUGGCUAAUACCGCAUAACGUCUACGGACCAAAGAGGGGGACCUUCGGGCCUCUCGCUUCAGGAUAUGCCCAGGUGGGAUUAGCUAGUUGGUGAGGUAAUGGCUCACCAAGGCGACGAUCCCUAGCUGGUCUGAGAGGGUGAUCAGCCACACUGGAACUGAGACACGGUCCAG
rnacentral:rRNA from 1 species